AACGAACGCUGGCGGCAUGCCUAACACAUGCAAGUCGAACGAGACCUUCGGGUCUAGUGGCGCACGGGUGCAUAACGCGUGGGAAUCUGCCCUUGGGUUCGGAAUAACAGUUGGAAACGACUGCUAAUACCGGAUGAUGACGUAAGUCCAAAGAUUUAUCGCCCAGGGAUGAGCCCGCGUAGGAUUAGCUAGUUGGUGGGGUAAAGGCCUACCAAGGCGACGAUCCUUAGCUGGUCUGAGAGGAUGAUCAGCCACACUGGGACUGAGACACGGCCCAGACUCCUACGGGAGGCAGCAGUGGGGAAUAUUGGACAAUGGGCGAAAGCCUGAUCCAGCAAUGCCGCGUGAGUGAUGAAGGCCUUAGGGUUGUAAAGCUCUUUUACCCGGGAUGAUAAUGACAGUACCGGGAGAAUAAGCCCCGGCUAACUCCGUG
rnacentral:rRNA from 1 species